rnacentral:rRNA from 1 species
UACAGAGACUGCAAGCGUUUAUUCGGAGUUCAACUGGGCGUAAAGGGUGCGCAGGCGGCCGUGUGUGUGAAGGCGUGAAAGCCCGGGGCUUAACCCCGGAAAUUGCACCUCAAAUCUACAAUGGCUAGAGCAUUGGAGAGGGUAGCAGAAUUCAUGGUGUAGCAGUGAAAUGCGUAGAGAUCGUAAGGAAGACCAGUGGCGAAGGCGAGUUUCUGGACGGUAACUGACGCUGAGGCACGAAGGCCAGGGGAGCAAAACGGG